GGGGGAUAUUGCACAAUGGAGGGAACUCUGAUGCAGCGACGCCGCGUGAGGGAAGAAGGUCUUCGGAUUGUAAACCUCUGUCUUUUGGGACGAAGCAAGUGACGGUACCAAAAGAGGAAGCCACGGCUAACUACGUGCCAGCAGCCGCGGUAAUACGUAGGUGGCGAGCGUUGUCCGGAAUUACUGGGUGUAAAGGGCGCGCAGGCGGCUUGUUAAGUCAGGUGUCAAAAUGCGGGGCUCAACCCCGUAUCGCACUUGAAACUGGCAGGCUUGAGUGCAGGAGAGGGAAGUGGAAUUCCUAGUGUAGCGGUGAAAUGCGUAGAUAUUAGGAGGAACACCAGUGGCGAAGGCGACUUCCUGGACUGUAACUGACGCUGAGGCGCGAAAGCUAGGGGAGCAAAC
rnacentral:rRNA from 1 species